rnacentral:rRNA from 1 species
GAUGAACGCUGGCGGCGUGCCUAAUACAUGCAAGUCGAGCGAGCAGACGAGGAGCUUGCUCCUCUGACGUUAGCGGCGGACGGGUGAGUAACACGUGGAUAACCUACCUAUAAGACUGGGAUAACUUCGGGAAACCGGAGCUAAUACCGGAUAAUAUAUUGAACCGCAUGGUUCAAUAGUGAAAGACGGUUUUGCUGUCACUUAUAGAUGGAUCCGCGCCGCAUUAGCUAGUUGGUAAGGUAACGGCUUACCAAGGCGACGAUGCGUAGCCGACCUGAGAGGAUGAUCGGCCACACUGGAACUGAGACACGGUCCAGACUCCUACGGGAGGCAGCAGUAGGGAAUCUUCCGCAAUGGGCGAAAGCCUGACGGAGCAACGCCGCGUGAGUGAUGAAGGUCUUCGGAUCGUAAAACUCUGUUAUUAGGGAAGAACAAAUGUGUAAGUAACUAUGCACGUCUUGACGGUACCUAAUCAGAAAGCCACGGCUAACUACGUG